CCCUCGUCUCGUCUCUCCACCCCACCUCCGUCUCCCACCCACCGCUGCUACUCCCACCCACCUCGGCCCCUUAGCCGACUGGCUCGGGGUUGGCCUACACGGCCAUGACAGGUACAGCGGCACCGACGCGCUCGUCAAGUCCCCAGGCGGCGCCGAUACACUCGUCCCGUGGUGGUGUCGUCGUUUCCUCCCCCGUGCACUGCGCCCCCAUCCUCCCGAGAUUGGAUCCCGUUUUUCUCCUUGUGCAGAUCCCGUUUUACUCCUUGUGCAGAUGCGUUUCCUCUAUUUCUGAAUUUGGAUUUCUUUCCUCGUGGUGCAGGGUUUCCGGCCGUCAUCAGUAAUGGAGAAUGUGAGGUCUUUGAACCACAGGGGCAUGGCCAUGGAGGGCGCCAAGCUGGCGUUCUAGGCGGCGGCCAACACCAAUCGCAGGGCCCUGAGGGACAUCAAGAACAUCCUCGGCGCUCCUCACCAGCCCCAAGCCGUCAGCAAAAGGGGCCUGCAAGAAAAACCAGCCGCCGCCGGUGCCAAGAGCCAGCCUGGCGCCGUCGGUCACCGGCCAGAUUUACCAAUUGUUCUGAUACUUUCAUGGGUGUCCAUUGCUCUUCUUAUCUAUGUACUUUCCAAUUGUGCAAAUUUUAGGAACUGUUUGGGUGAAUUUAGAUGCUGGGAAGUGGAUCCUGAAUGCACUUUGUGUUUGCUAUAUUCAGAUUUGCGCAAACAAAGCUCACUCUAAAAUAAUAUCUGUAACUACGUACUGUUUGAAUUAAUACACCUGAAUCUGCGGAUUUGCACAUACAGAUCUUUAGAGAUUUGAGCAUAUCGAUGUAGUUCUCAUAUAAGUAUGGUACUAUAGGUUUAAUGUAGUCUAGCAAAUUUAGGCAAGUAGUACGUCAUGAAUAUUUUAACUUAAUUUGAUGCUCACUUUUACAUACAUAUGGUAUGAUAUUAAUUAUGGUUCAUUUGGGUUAGUUGUCCAUCUUUUGCAUCCCUUGCUUUUAUUGCACUCAGAUUUAGUUCAGAAUGUAUAUAAAUUUACCUUGUUUGAACCAAGAAUCUGACUGAAAUAGGUAACUGCCAACUCAAAACAUAAAACAAGUGCUAGACUUCAAAGCAUAACCACAAGAGUUGUUCAUAGCCUUUAUCUACUCAAGAUCUUGUUUAUUUGCACUUGCCAGCUAAAAUGGAAGUGAGCACACCUGUGAGUGACCCUCAGUCUCUAUUAUCUUUGUACUACCUAAUAUGAUUCAUCAACAUUUUAGGUAUAUCUUCAGAUGUCAGUCUCAUACACAUUAAGAAUCAUACCUAUUCAUUUCGUGUUUCUAUAUAAGUGCUCAUUUCAUAUCUUUGUACUACCUAAUAUGAUCUUGCAUGUUGGAUGCUAUCCACCGUGUAAACCUUUAGUUUUAGCUAGUGAUUCGUGUGAAUUGCUAGAUGGAUACCAGUCUGUGUUGCACUUUGGCCGGUUGCCUUGAUGUUGUGCUUCUACUAUGAUUUGAGAAGUAUGGUGAAUGCGUCGCUUAAUUGGUUGUUACUUAGCUUGCAUGUCCUUCAUUUAUGUCAUACCUCAAACAUGUUCGUGUAGGAGUUGCUUGAGGCCACCUGCAUGUGGUUUCUUGGAGUUCCUGUAUGAUAAAUCUAGUGGAGAAGCUGGUUUGUUUGAUGAACAGACCUACAUCAAGUGUCAUGCUACCGUAUUUUACACAAUUACAAACCCAGAUAAAUGAAUGAAUGUAAUGGUUAUAUAACUUGGAUUGAACUUCAGUUCAGUGCUACGCUUAUGUACCUUGCUAUGCUAGUAAGCCUACUGUCACGCAUGCCCAUGGCUGCGUGAGUGGCUAUAUAUAAAGCAGUUCCAUUCAGAAGCUUAUCUUUGUAUUAGUUUAGGCCUCGGUUAUGUUACUUUGGCAAUGAUUUUCCAUAGGCAUAGCCUCAUUAUCAAUAUGAUGACUUGCUAUGCUGUGAUGGGUGUCUUCUGCUUGUCCAUGAGUGGCCAUUAUCAGUAUGCAUAGGCACUCUUUUGCUUGUCUGCGAAAUUAUGGUGAUAGCUCAUGCCUCAUGUUGUUUCUUUUCUCGUGUGUUUUGUUUAGUUCACCUUAUGAAUAGAUUUGUAGGUCGUUUGAUUUAUUCCAGCAGUACAAGUACAACUGUUGUUCCUGUAGCUUAACAAAUCAAUUUAAAUCUGUUCAAUAUGUUUUCAAAUCCCAGAUUGUGCCUUUGUUAAAAUUCGUAGGGGAUAAUCUGAUUUAUUAUAGAACUAGUAGUACAACUUUUGCUGAUGUAGCCCAUGCCUCAUGUUGGAGUGUGUAUUCUAAUGAAUAUUUGUCAACCUGAUGCAUGAUGAUCAUGAUUUUGUUGACAACAAGUACCAUUCCCCAUUAAAAAUUCUGAUACAUGAUGAUCAUGGUCUCAUUUUUUAGAUCUGUUUUGCUGGUGCUUAAAAUUUGACAUGACUUAAUGAACUCAUUCUUAUAGUUCUUUUUAUUUCUAUGAUCAAUUUAAUUAAAGUUUCACAGGAUAGUAUACUAUACAUUAAAAAAUCCUAGCUAGUGAGAAUAUUUUAGUCACUCCAUAAACACAUAUUGGUUAGUGUUAGUCAUACUAUUUAUAUGUUGUGUUUUCCACAAUAACAUGAUUAAUUAGGUUCCAUCCUUAGCUUUAACGUCUUCUUCCAAAGGUUCUCAUCGAUUAGUACUGUCAACCUGUACAUAUUAUACUAUUUUGUUCCCUCAUUGGCUACUAUUUUGUUCUUAUUUUUUGCAUAGGUGAAAUGUGAAGCCAAGCUGAAGUUGUGAAGCCUAUAUGCAAAGAGUAGCAUAUCAUGUAUUGUGAUAGUAGGGUGUAGUAGGCAUAUUUGAGUUGUAGUAGUGUAAAGAUUGUAAUAGACUAAUUUAGUGUUUUCUUGGACGAAUUUCAUUUGUUCUGUGAUCUGUUCAAAAUAUUGAUUUCGUAUGUGAUUUGUAUACCUAUGAAAUGGAAACCUCACAAAUUGUUUGACAAA